AAUUUCUGGCUUGGCGCGCGCGGCCCGGCUCGAUUCGGGUUGUGUGCCGUUGUGCGCCUGCCAUCCUUGCACUGGGCGGCUGUGCUCUUCACUGGGUUGCAGUCGAUCAAUGCAUCUUUUACUUUGAAAAAAUUAGAGUGUUUAAAGCAGGCUUGCGCUAUGAAUACAUUAGCAUGGAAUAAUAAUUUAGGACUUCUGUUCUAUUUUGUUGGUUUCUAGGAUGGAAGUAAUGAUUGAUAGGGAUAGUUGGGGGUGCUAGUAUUCAGCGGCCAGAGGUGAAAUUCUUGGAUUCGUUGAAGACUAACUUAUGCGAAAGCAUU
rnacentral:rRNA from 1 species